GAUGAACGCUGACAGAAUGCUUAACACAUGCAAGUCAACCUGAAUUUGGGUUUUUAACUUAGGUUUGGGUGGCGGACGGGUGAGUAACGCGUAAAGAACUUGCCUCACAGCUAGGGACAACAUUUGGAAACGAAUGCUAAUACCUAAUAUUAUGAUAAUAGGGCAUCCUAUAAUUAUGAAAGCUAUAAGCGCUGUGAGAGAGCUUUGCGUCCCAUUAGCUAGUUGGAGAGGUAACGGCUCGCCAAGGCGAUGAUGGGUAGCCGGCCUGAGAGGGUGAUCGGCCACAAGGGGACUGAGACCCGGCCCUUACUCCUCCGGGGGGCAGCGGUGGGGAUUAUUGGACAAUGGACCAAGAGUCUGAUCGAGCAGUUCUGUGUGCACGAUGAAGUUUUUCGGAAUGUAAAGUUCUUUCAGGUGGGAAGAAAGAAAUGACGGUACCAACAGAAGAAGUAACGGCUAAAUACGUG
rnacentral:rRNA from 1 species